UACGUAGGUGGCAAGCGUUGUCCGGAAUUAUUGGGCGUAAAGCGCGCGCAGGUGGUUCCUUAAGUCUGAUGUGAAAGCCCACGGCUCAACCGUGGAGGGUCAUUGGAAACUGGGGAACUUGAGUGCAGAAGAGGAAAGUGGAAUUCCAAGUGUAGCGGUGAAAUGCGUAGAGAUUUGGAGGAACACCAGUGGCGAAGGCGGCCAGCUGGGCCAGGUCCGACACUGAGGCGCGGAAAGCGUGGGAGCAAACAGGG
rnacentral:rRNA from 1 species